AAACAUGAAAGGAAAAAAAAUUGUUAAGAAAAAAGGCAAUUUGCAGCAAAAAGAAGAAGGAAAGGGGUAAACUGUAGUUGCGGUCGUUUGAACACAGGACCAAGGAAUUUUCAAAAGUCAACAAAACCAUCUUAGCUACCAAAAUCUAUUA
rnacentral:sRNA from 1 species